UACGUAGGGUCCGAGCGUUGUCCGGAAUUAUUGGGCGUAAAGAGCUCGUAGGCGGUUCAGUAAGUCGGGUGUGAAACUUUGGGCUUAACCCAAAGCGUGCAUCUGAUACUGCUGUGACUUGAGUUCGGUAGGGGAGUGGGGAAUUCCUAGUGUAGCGGUGAAAUGCGCAGAUAUUAGGAGGAACACCGGUGGCGAAGGCGCCACUCUGGGCCUGUACUGACGCUGAGGAACGAAAGCGUGGGUAGCGAACAGG
rnacentral:rRNA from 1 species